AUUGAACGCUGGCGGCAUGCUUUACACAUGCAAGUCGAACGGUAACAGGCCGCAAGGUGCUGACGAGUGGCGAACGGGUGAGUAACGCAUCGGAACGUGCCCAGCCGUGGGGGAUAACGCAGCGAAAGCUGCGCUAAUACCGCAUACGAACUAUGGAUGAAAGCGGGGGACCGUAAGGCCUCGCGCGAUUGGAGCGGCCGAUGUCAGAUUGGGUAGUUGGUGGGGUAAAGGCUCACCAAGCCAACGAUCUGUAGCUGGUCUGAGAGGACGACCAGCCACACUGGGACUGAGACACGGCCCAGACUCCUACGGGAGGCGGCAGUGGGGAAUUUUGGACAAUGGGCGCAAGCCUGAUCCAGCAAUGCCGCGUGCAGGAAGAAGGCCUUCGGGUUGUAAACUGCUUUUGUACGGAACGAAACGGUCCUGGUUAAUACCUGGGGCUAAUGACGGUACCGUAAGAAUAAGCACCGGCUAACUACGUGCCAGCCGCCGCGGUAACAC
rnacentral:rRNA from 1 species